rnacentral:lncRNA from 1 species
UACUGAACUGUCAUUUCCGAAAUCUCAUUGCCUGAAUGCUGAUACCUUUGUUUUAGUCUUAUGAGCCUGUGCCAAUGACGUAUUUAUGAUUUCAUUUGAGGAACUGAAGUUGACUGCAGCAUUAAUUCUUCUCCAUUCAGAUUCAGAACCUAUAGCCUGGAGAAGAGGCAGAUGGGAUUGGCAGGUGUGUGUGCGUGUCAGAGCCCAGAUUAACAUUCCCUACUGAGAGCAUUGAAUCAUGGGUAGCCAGCAUUUCAUUUAUACCCAGUGCAGCUGUGUCUAGGAAAGAAAGUAGCGCACAUGACCACUGACAUGGCCUGCCGUCAUGCCUCAGCAGUGUAUGGAGCUGAAGAAGCCAGCGAGUCAGGUUGGUAGACACUAUAUAAUUAUCCCAGCCUACAGCUCACACCUGCUUUGCAGGAAAAGGAAUGUUGCGUGACAGGCUUGCACCAGAGUUUUUCCCAGAUAGUUUUCAAAUAUCAGAUUGAGUUUAUUUCAUGCUAUCUUGAAGCCUACUUGAGGAUAAUCAGAAGAAAUAUGGGGUUAACUGGAGGACAAUGGAGAGAAGAGGAUAACCUAACCUGUCACACUUUUAUACCAAACUGUCACACAGAAUGAUGAAAAGCCAUAGGUACUGUUGGGUCUGGGGCUCUGACAUUUUGUUCUUGAAGUCAGUGAUCAGUUUUGGUUUCUGACUGAUAAAGUGUUUAUGCCUAGAUCGGCAAAUACACCUGGGCUGGGUGGUAGACAUUGACAUUAUAGCUAUGAUCUUCUAGGUAACUAGGUUUGUGUCUGAGCUCGACUUUCUGUGCAAACAAUGCUUUAUCUCUGCGCUGGGUGACCUGGGCUGGCUGCCAGGCCCCCACCCAGCUGCUCUUUCACUCCACCUUCUCAACAGGACAUGGGGAGGAGGUAAGAUAGAAAAGCUCAUGGACUGAGAUAGAGACGGGGAGAUCACUUGCCAGUUACCAUCAUGUGCAAGACAGAGGUGACCUGGGGAAAAUUAAUUUAAUAUAUU